ACCCCCACCUUGAUGAUAAUGGACUGAACCCCUGAACCUACAGGAAGAAGAAGGUCAGAUGGUGGUAAGAGAAAUGGGAGACAUUCUACGGAUGCUCUAAAGAGACAGUCCUGAGUAUGGAAAGAACAACCGUUCAGACUGAGCGCUGCGGUCAAAGGACAGAUAUGUGAGCCAAGAGUCAAGGAGGCCAGUGGAGGCUGAAGAGGACACCUGGAAAUGGUUGGUGGAUCCUGAGUAGCAGGAGGAGACUUCAGUCCAGGAUGUAGUGCUGUGCUCACUGGGGCAGGCAAGGGAGGAGCUGCAGAAGGAAGCCAAACUGGGGUAAGGCAGAGAAUAACAAGCAAGAGGGAGUCUGGUCUCUCCUUCCACUCCUUAGAUCCAGGAUCAACUAAAGGUGGUAGGAGUGAGUGGUAGCAACCUUUUACUUGAUAAGCCAGUCAUCUUGCUGUGCCCUUGUUUCUCUUGUCACUGGAAGACUCAGAAGAUCGUUGACCAUGUAGCUGGUGUUAGAUACGGCAGUGGGCUCCAUUCUCCUGUUUCUGUGCCCCUGGCAGCUGUCCAGUACACUCUUCAGUACCUGUGUAUCUUCCUGCGGCUUAUGAGGAAAUAAAGAAAA
rnacentral:sRNA from 1 species